rnacentral:misc_RNA from 1 species
CUGCCAUAAUUUCUUUUAUGGUGCAAAACUGGUACAUAAACAAUUUCCCAAACCUUCUCAAUAUGUACAAAAAUAAACUUAAAAAAAAAAAAACAUAAAAUAUAACACAGUAUUUAUGCCAACUAGUAAGGUCAUAGCAUGCAAGUAUGACUGGAAAACUUAUGGGCAUCCUAUGUUUUUUUUAACUGUUGCUAUUGUUCUUUGUUGUCUACUUGUUACCUUCUUAAUGGAUAAUAUUUAUAGGCACUUUUUAGCUUAGCGUCUAGUCUGGUUCUGGUACUUGUCAAACAAAAUGCAUCCACAGUAUUGCAGUCGUUACCUUUUGAAACCCUUGUGAUCAACUUGGUUACUGGUUCAUCUUUGAUCUUUGUAUGGAAAGAAUGAUUCUGUCGAUUCAUGAAUCAUAGUUAUAUACAUGAGUUAUCACAUGAACCCAUUCAGCUAUGUCUAAUCAAUUCUUAUUAUGUAGGAUACCGUGUAGGGAUUGUUAGGAAUUCUUUUCAGAUACUUGACUUUGGCUGCACAACAUAUAUUCAGCUCAUAUAUGACUGAAAUUCUUGGGAAAGUCCAUUUGUGGAACCUAGAGCUUUGAGCUCCCUACAACCUUAUUUUUGGACCACAUUAAUUGGCUGAGAUAGUUUUUCAUUUCAUUAUAGAUCUGAAACAAACAACAUAUAUUUAUAAUAUUAAAUGAUCCAGGUUAUAUUAUUUAUAUAUGUGCAUCAUUUUGGUUUCUGCAGAAUAUUGAGGUGAAAGUUUUGGGAUGCAAUAGUGUAGAUGAAAAAUUUAGGAGAAUAGAUUUUUUAGAAGAAAAUGAUUAAAUAAAGCAGAACUUGCAGUGCUUCUGUUAUGGUUGGGUUAGAGUUUAAGUAGAUGAGGAUUUUGGUAGCAUUCAGUUACUACUGCUUAGCCGAUGUAUAGGAGAUGGAAGUUGUAAUUUUGAGGCAUUCUAGAUUAAUCAAUACAAUUUUUUUAUCUCCCCCAAAUUCUCUUCCUCUCGAUCUCUCUCUUUCUCUGCUUCUUCCCUUUCUUCUAUUUGUUUCCCCUUUCCUCUGUUCUUCUGUUUGGUUAUGCUAGGUCACAGCAAUUAGCAUCGGAGCAGGUUGAAACGACGGGAAUUCUGCUUCUUGCUCUCUCUCUCUUCCUCUUUUGUAACUCUCUUAUUUACCUUCCUUUUCUUCUUAUUUCUCUCCCUUUCUUGUUCUUUCUUCUCAAUUUUGUUCUUCCUUCUCUCUUAGAUUCCUUUCUAUUAGCAUCAAUGGAAUAUAAUGCAAGAAUUAAGGAUAUUAACGAUUGAUUCCAAGGUUUGGAGCUGAAAUUCCAAAUUCUGAAGAAAAUGAUCCAU